UUUUGGACAAUGGGCGAAAGCCUGAUCCAGCAAUGCCGCGUGCAGGAAGAAGGCCUUCGGGUUGUAAACUGCUUUUGUACCGAACGAAACGGUCUGCCCCAAUACGGCGGGCUAAUGACGGUACCGUAAGAAUAAGCACCGGCUAACUACGUGCCAGCGGCCGCGGUAAUACGUAGGGUGCGAGCGUUAAUCGGAAUUACUGGGCGUAAAGCGUGCGCAGGCGGUUAUGUAAGACAGUUGUGAAAUCCCCGGGCUCAACCUGGGAAUUGCAUCUGUGACUGCAUAGCUAGAGUACGGUAGAGGGGGAUGGAAUUCCGCGUGUAGCAGUGAAAUGCGUAGAUAUGCGGAGGAACACCGAUGGCGAAGGCAAUCCCCUGGACCUGUACUGACGCUCAUGCACGAAA
rnacentral:rRNA from 1 species